rnacentral:rRNA from 1 species
AGUGAACGCUGGCGGUAGGCCUAACACAUGCAAGUCGAACGGCAGCACAGAGGAGCUUGCUCCUUGGGUGGCGAGUGGCGGACGGGUGAGGAAUACAUCGGAAUCUACUCUGUCGUGGGGGAUAACGUAGGGAAACUUACGCUAAUACCGCAUACGACCUACGGGUGAAAGCAGGGGACCUUCGGGCCUUGCGCGAUUGAAUGAGCCGGUGUCGGAUGAGCUAGUUGGCGGGGGAAAGGCCCACCAAGGCGACGAUCCGUAGCUGGUCUGAGAGGAUGAUCAGCCACACUGGAACUGAGACACGGUCCAGACUCCUACGGGAGGCAGCAGUGGGGAAUAUUGGACAAUGGGCGCAAGCCUGAUCCAGCCAUACCGCGUGGGUGAAGAAGGCCUUCGGGUUGUAAAGCCCUUUUGUUGGGAAAGAAAUCCAGCCGGCUAAUACCUGGUUGGGAUGACGGUACCCAAAGAAUAAGCACCGGCUAACUUCGUGCCAGCCGCCGCAGUAAAAC